rnacentral:rRNA from 1 species
ACCCUACGGGGCGCAGCAGUGAGGAAUAUUGGUCAAUGGACGCAAGUCUGAACCAGCCAUGCCGCGUGCAGGAAGACGGCUCUAUGAGUUGUAAACUGCUUUUGUACGAGGGGAAACUCGGAUACGUGUAUCCGUUUGAAAGUAUCGUACGAAUAAGGAUCGGCUAACUCCGUGCCAGCAGCCGCGGUAAUACGGAGGAUUCAAGCGUUAUCCGGAUUUAUUGGGUUUAAAGGGUGCGUAGGCGGAUCGUUAAGUCAGUGGUCAAAUUGAGGGGCUCAACCCCUUCCCGCCAUUGACACUGGCGU